rnacentral:rRNA from 1 species
UACGUAGGGGGCAAGCGUUGUCCGGAAUCAUUGGGCGUAAAGAGCGUGUAGGCGGCUCGGUAAGUCCGCUCUGAAAGCCCGGGGGCUCAACCCCCGGGAGGCGGGCGGAUACUGUCGGGGCUAGAGUCCGGAAGAGGCGAGUGGAAUUCCUGGUGUAGCGGUGAAAUGCGCAGAUAUCAGGAGGAACACCAAUGGCGAAGGCAGCUCGCUGGGACGGUACUGACGCUGAGACGCGAAAGCGUGGGGGAGCAAACAGG